rnacentral:rRNA from 2 species
AGACCCGAAACCCGGUGAUCUAGCCAUGGGCAGGUUGAAGGUUGGGUAACACUAACUGGAGGACCGAACCGACUAAUGUUGAAAAAUUAGCGGAUGACCUGUGGCUGGGGGUGAAAGGCCAAUCAAACCGGGAGAUAGCUGGUUCUCCCCGAAAGCUAUUUAGGUAGCGCCUCGUGAAUUCAUCUCCGGGGGUAGAGCACUGUUUCGGCUAGGGGGCCAUCCCGGCUUACCAACCCGAUGCAAACUGCGAAUACCGGAGAAUGUUAUCACGGGAGACACACGGCGGGUGCUAACGUCCGUCGUGAAGAGGGAAACAACCCAGACCGCCAGCUAAGGUCCCAAAGUCAUGGUUAAGUGGGAAACGAUGUGGGAAGGCCCAGACAGCCAGGAUGUUGGCUUAGAAGCAGCCAUCAUUUAAAGAAAGCGUAAUAGCUCACUGGUCGAGUCGGCCUGCGCGGAAGAUGUAACGGGGCUAAACCAUGCACCGAAGCUGCGGCAGCGAACGUAUCACUUAAAGCGAUUCAGCGGGUUACGAUUGACGGAGCGAAGCGACGUCAAAGCGUAUACAAAGUCGAGUCGG